GUCGGAAAAUGGGUGGGCCUCAACCACUGUGAUGACGAAAAAAGUAUUUGAAAUAAAAAGUACCUGAUUCUAAACUCUAACCAAAAUUCAAGCAAAACCCUUGGCAAAACUUAACCCGUAUCUGAAAAAUGGAUGCCGAAAUGAAUAUCCAGAGUGGUCUUUCCAACGAAAAUAUGUCGACUUGGGCGGAAGUUGAUGGUGCCGCGACUCAGCUAAAGAUCAAUAUACCGGAG